CUGUAGAUUAAUUUAUCUUCUUUUUACGGGGAAAGCGGGUUCAAUAUGGAAGCAGCGUUCUAGCAGUUGGAUCUCCGUGGAACAGAGUCCAUCCACACGUGUUUGAAGGAGCUGAAGCAGAGGAUGGAGAACACAGACCACCAAGGAGGAGAAACAUGGCUCCUCUGCUCGUCUCUCCAACAUUCUGGAGUCCUGGAAUGAAAAACGUCGACGGCCUCGCAGCUAAACCAUCAGUCUGCUCCAGAAAGAAGCAGAUUUCUUCCGUCAUCUCCUCGUUGGACCGGCACCUCUUGGACGUCUGCUGUCCUGUUAAAGACCCGCUCUGCCGCAGUAGAUGGGCGCUGACAUGGAGCCGGGUUCUGCUGGAGGAUCCUUCCUGCUUCAAGCUAGUUUUCCUCUCUACUAUCAGCACUUCAUUCCUCAGAAGGAUGCUACAAGAUUAAUGACUGGAUGCGGUUGGCUGAGCUUCCUUGGAUUUAAGACAUUUCUCUAAAUGCCAAAAUAGACUUAAAUUAUCUUCACCAUAUUGUAAAAAGGAUCGUAUUGGAUGUUUAUGAUUGAUUUCAUUCUGUGUUUGUUUUGAAUUCUGUUAAAUUUUUCUGUUUUAAAGCUCUUGUGUAAAUUGCCUUGAGAUGGCCUGUUUUUAUUUCACUAGACUAAAUUAUAUUAAAUCCUGCCUACUGGGUCUGGUUCUACUAAGAGAUCCUUUAUUUUAUUCUAUA